rnacentral:lncRNA from 1 species
UCUUUGAGAGCCUGUGAUCCAUCUUGCCCCCAUGCUCUGGAGCAUGCCUGCUGUCUCAUAGAUGGGCAAAUAUAGGAGUCAAGCCAGGCCACUUGAUCCCACCUCCAUCAUGGGCUAUGUCUACUCUGACCAAAGACCUGCUCGAGGAAGUCUCCUACGGCAAUAGAAACUUUACUUUGCGACAUCAUCUCUCACCUUCCU